GACGGACGGACAGACAGACGGACAUGGCUAGAUCGACUCGGCUAUUGAUGCCAAUAUUUCCACACAAUUUCGAUAAUAACCUCUGCGUUUCUUAACCGAUCUUUUCAGUAGCAUAUAUUAUUGUGCUUAACAAUAUAUUUGUAUAAAAAUAAAAUUAAUUUCUGAUUGGUUGGAAAAUGGGUCAGGCUAUUGAUUAUAGGAAACAAACUCGUAAAGCGCGGGAAACCUCUAGCUCUUAUAGAUUCUGAGAUCGACGCGUGCAUACAUACGGAUAGACAGAAAUCGAUAGCUUGUCUCGGCUAUUAAAACCGACCAAAAAUAUAUGUUUUUUGGUGCGGGUGGAAUGUUCCCAUACUCUGUCUUACAGCGCACCUUGAUCGCAUAAAGUAUCUAAGGUUCCAAUUUCAUUAUUCUAGUCCUAACGGUUCGGACCAACUUUUAUACUUUAUUUAAAUAGAUUCUCGUAUGUAUCCGAGGAUAUCAAUUUUUUCAAUACGCCGUCCCAUUUUAAUAGUAUUUAUAAGAACUGAUUUGGAGACCUGGCUUGCUAUGCAAAAAUACAACUGAAAAGAGCUAGAUACGCGAAACUUGAAAUUUAUUUCCUCGAAUAGUAUAGACAGAAAGAAAAUUUUACUGUUUUAACACCUCCCCCUAUCCUUCAGAAUUUAGCACAAACUUAUUUUUCAAAAAAAGUCAAAAGUCGUGGACUUUGGUAUAUAUACUCAUUUGUAGACCGUAUUUAUGUCCUUAGACUGUCCUUAGAACCUAUAAACACUAAAAUUAAUGGUGAAUGCAUUUGCAUUGAAUGCAAAAGGAAGAAGAAGCAUAGGCGCUGAUCGUCCUGAUUUAUAUGUUAGUUUUUGUGUAUGUGUGUCUAAAAAUAUGGUGUAUUGUAGUUUGACUCUCGCGUCCAGAAUAUUCCUACUUGAUAUAGAACAUUUUUGUGUGACCACAUGUUCCGUGCCCAUAAAUUGGAAAACUUUCUUUCCUAUUCUAAGAUAAAUAAGCCAGACGACGAGCUGAAUAAUCUAGAUAAGCCGGACGACGAGGGAAGAUGUUUUUGCUUUUACUCCACUCGUAUUCCAUUUAAUGCCCUGAAUUACCAUUAACUUAGGACAAUAAUCACCGGGGUAAUGGAAAACCCGUAUCCCAAAUCGCAGAGUAAGGACGCACAGCUGCUGCAUAACGUGCGCAGUUCGCGAAGUGAUAUGGCUAUCUGUUUAUAUGUGGUAUCUCCAAAUAGUAACAUUAUUGUGUGGUAUAGUAAUAAGGUUGGGGUUAAGAAAGGAAGAUGUGCAUUCAUUGGGUAAAUUGCGCGGAUUGUGACGUGCAUACUUGUAGGUGUACAUUCCCGAUUUGGACUUAAUCUCAUGACCUAUCAAAUCCUUUUUUCUAUACGCCGCCCAUUACAUACCCCGAGUAAGGAAGAAAAUUAUUAUUCAAACGAUUCUCCUUGCAGAUGCAAGCUUCUCUUACCACAACUAAGGGAAUAAUUUGCAUAGACACAGGCAACGGCCAGUAGGUAAUAGCUUUAUCGACUGAAGUUGAUAAUGAUAAAGAAAACACCAUUCAUUCAUUUGACACCUGUCCCAGCUCACAACGCAAGAUAUUGAAGAAACCGCGUUUAUACUUAGUUGUCAAUUGAGUAUCAGCUUAUAGAAACAAAUUUGAAAUUAUCAUGAGAUAUAUACAAGAUAUCAAUAUGGUCUUAUAAGCCAAAAAAAUACAUAACGAAUGGUUAAAAAAACAUUCCCGUUUAAUGUCUCUAAGAAACGUCCUUUGUUAUGUAUAAUUCCUUGGAAAAUUACUAUACCCUCUGUAAGGAUACACACUUAGAACACGGAUACAUAAGUGUGUAUACCCCAGUUUUAAUUUUAACAUUUUCUAAAACAACUUCGCCUUCUUAACGAUUUCAAUCAAUUUUUUUAUUUGGUAAAUAUAAUCAAAAUGGCAAUAACCCAUCGAUUACAUGGGUAAUGAUGACAAAAAUGGAUUGCCUAGCUCUUUUAAUCUAUAAUAUAAAUGUACAAAAACGUGUGUUUAUGAAUAUUUUCAUCGGCUUAUAAAGUCAGUAGUCCUCUUAGUUCACCCUGGCUGAUGGAGAAGAGCAUAUAUGUAUAUACCUUUUUUAACUGAGCAUAAUUCGUUUUGCAUAAUUUAUAUGUUUAUUGUUAUAUGUGAGUUGCAGCAUACAUUUACAAAAAAAAACAAAUACAGAAAAUCUCAAAGAUACCAAACAUACCAGCCCCGAUAGCUAGAGUUAGAUUUUCCGAGAAGUGUGAAACACCUCCAAAAUUUAGUUUCAUUGUAAUCUUUUUUAAUGCGUUGCAUCUCGAACUUACGAAAUGUAUUUUCACAAAUAUUUGAAAAUGAGUUUAAAACCUGACGGAUACUAAAAAAAAUGUUACAAUUGUUAUGCCUACAUAUAUUUAUGUUAUUUUCUAAAAAACCUUUAAGCAUUAGCAACUUAAAUGACAUUAUAUGUACAAUUUUCGGGUUUCUAGCUCUUUGUGCAUUCAUCGCCAAUCAGUGGGUCAGUAAGGAUACAGAGUUUUAUAUACAUAUGGCAUACACAGACACACCUAUACGGGUAACUAGCUCUUACAAUCCCUGAGAUAUGAUUAGACGACGGACAUAACUUGAUCGACUUAGCUUGUCGUCCUGUUCUGCAUCGGCUCGGAGAUGUUGCCUUCUGUCUUCUCAUAUACACUUGCACAAAACUCCAGUCUCCAUAAACCAAUUUCAAAGGGUACACGGUAUCAUUCCUGGAUAUCUUACAACUGACUUAAAAAUUUUUAAAAAUUAAAAUAAAGCAAAUCCAAACAGCAACCGUCCAUUUUUCCAGCUUAAUUCAAACAACUUGAAAGUUGGCAACUAACAACAAAACUUACUUACGUCUAAUAUGUAUGUUAGCAAUACAAAAGUUAUAAUGAGGCAGUAGGAAUACACUGUAACACGGAAAUAAAGUAACGUUUUUUAUUUGUGUGGAGUAGGCUAUUCCCUUUCAAAUAGACGAAACUUUUAAAAACUCUAAUUUUCUAAGUUUUGCAAUAUUAGAGCGCAGUUGGGCAUGACACCUAUAUUUCUUUUUGAGGAGAACAGAAAUAAAAUAAAAAAAAUACAUCGAAAAAUUCAAAAGGAAGGAAAAGCGAUUGUUUAAAAUAUAAUAUGGAAUAUUUAGCAAUUUCUUUCUAGCAGAAGAAUCGUCCAAUAUUAAAAAGUCAAAUAUACAUCAUAUACGGAUAUAAUUAACAAACACAUGACGAAACUUCAAAUAAGAACAGGUAUUUGGCAAACGUAGGUGGACUUGGCUUGAAUCAUUUUAGACUGGUAUUUUUACAUAAUUUUAAUUGAUCGUUUUCAUGAAAUUAUGUUGUUACAUUGUUGUGUUUUACUUAAAGAAGAGAAUGCAGAGUUGUGUUUAUGGUGCCGAAGAUUUUUACCCUUACGGAGAUGUAGCGAUGUAUUUAUUUAGUAAAUUAUACAGAAGCACGACAUAGUCCGUAUUCCGAUGUUGUUCGAUUUUGCUUAAGUGUAUGUUUUAGCAGAGUAAAGCUAGCUGAAUGAAAUUCUGAAUAUGGCAUAGUGACGAAAAAAAAAGAGUGGCCAUCUCCGUUUUGUGUACUGUUUGCAUUCACAGCCUAAGUCCAAGAUGCAUCACAAGAACAAACGGCAGUAAACAUGGCAAUAACACUCGGAUGCUGUCUCGAAGAAUUGCAAAGACCAUACUUUAUCGGGCAAAGAAUGUCUCUUUUAAUUCCUUACAAAUUCUCUAAACACGAAAUAAAGGUAUGAUAAAAAAGCGUGUCUAAAUUUAAAUGUUUGCAAGGGUGUGCAAAAAAUAUAUUAAUUAUAUAUUUAUAUAUAUAUGUACAUAAUCUAAUCUCCAAUUAAAUGUAAUAUGAUUAUGCAUUUCUUUCUUAUACCAGUAUGCUCGAGUUUCUGUCAUGCGCAGAUACAUACCUAACAGGUCUAUGUACAUACAUACGAGUACAUAGAUAAAUAUGCUCUUAUGCUAAACAUAUACAAAAAUACGUACACAUAUACAUAAACACAUUAAAACAAUAAGAUAAUCUAUUUUUGACAUGUACGUAUCUAUAGAUCGAUAAAAUAAUUUACCAACUAGUAAAAUAUGUAUGCAUUCUAAACAUUGAUCACAGUCAAUAAUGUUAAUGCUUUAUAAAUAGAAAUGUAAUCUAAUACUCAAUGAUAAUUAUUACUACGCCUAACUUUACCUUAUGAAACCUUAACGAUAUAAUACUUUUGUUCAAUUUUCAAAUAAUUCAUAGUAGAAAAAUAUUUUCGAGGUGCCGAUGACAUUAUAGCUUUCCACAAAUGUUUUAUUUUAAAUAUCUUUAUUGUUUAAAUUGAUAAUUUACAGUUAAAUUGUAUCGAUAAAUACCAAAAAAAAAAAAUUUUCUUCAACAAAUUAUGUCAUUAACCUACAUAAUUCAUUUCUUACGCACACGCAUGCUAACGAAUUUUGGGCUUGCUAUUAAUACAGCAUUCAAGGUAAUUCUUUCUUCAAAUAUAAACAUACCACACUAUAUAUUUAUAAAAACAUAAAUUGGCAAUGCUUUUAAGCUCUGUUCAAGUAAAAGCAUUUGUUGAUUUUUAGAAUUGUCCGUAUAUUUGGCCUCAAACUCUAUGAGGCAAGCCGCAAGAAUCUGUACCUACAACAUCUCCAAAUAGAUGUUAAUGAUCCUAAAAGUAAAUAGUCUGUUUUCGACUUUUAUUGCUCAUUGAACAGAGUAUUACGCAGUCGCAUGUAACCUACUCUUAGGAGCUUUUUAUUGUUUAUUUGUUACAUUUUAGUUUGGUUGCUUUAUAUGUUAUUAUGACCAUUAAAUCAGAUUUAACACAUUAGUUCAUUUGUUUCACAUGAAAGAUGUAUAGGUUAAACAUGUAUUCUAAUUUUACUUUAAGAUGACGAUGAUGUGUCCGAAGUAUUUGAUAAGACAGAAAAAAUUCUAAGCACAACAAUCAUCUAAGAAAAA